rnacentral:rRNA from 1 species
AUUGAACGCUAGCGGGAUGCUUUACACAUGCAAGUCGAACGGAGUGGCGGACGGGUGAGUAAUAUAUCGGAACGUGCCUAGUAGCGGGGGAUAACUACUCGAAAGAGUGGCUAAUAAUGCCAACAGUGAGAGCGGCCGAUAUCGGAUUAGCUAGUUGGUGGGGUAACGGCACACCAAGGCAACGAUCCGUAGCUGGUUUGAGAGGACGACCAGCCACACGUGGACUGAGACACGGCCCAGACUCCUACGGGAGGCAGCAGUGGGGAAUUUUGGACAAUGGGGGAAACCCUGAUCCAGCCAUCCCGCGUGUAUGAUGAAGGCCUUCGGGUUGUAAAGUACUUUUGGCAGAGAAGCGGUAUCUGCAGAAUAAGCACCGGCUAACUACGUGCCAGCAGCCGCGGUAAUUC